rnacentral:piRNA from 1 species
UUGCCUGCUGUUANCUUUGUGGAAUUGUGU